rnacentral:lncRNA from 1 species
GUUUCACCUUUGGAAGUUCUUGAUUCAUCCUUGGGUGCCUUCCUUUUCUUUGGCCUCUUCCUCCAUUCAAGUUCAUUGUUUAUUUUAGAUUUUUGUUUAAUGAACUUAUUAAGAGUUGGUGUUCGAAGUUCAAGUUCAUCAUUGUCCUCAUCACUUGAGUCAUCGCUCAAGUGGUAUUCAUUUGUCCGAGGUUCCAAAUCCUUCCUGUUCUUUGGAAGGUGGUUCAAGUGUUCAUUGUGUUCAUCAUGUGCAUUGCGCACCAUUUCUAUUGUCAUUAAUGAGCUGAUAAGUUCUUCA